UAUUUAUUGUACUUUCUAUUUAUAGAUGAUUCUUAAUUUAUUCUAUUAAUAAUUCUUUUAUUAUAUUAAUAUUCUUAAUUCUUAAUUAUUUUACAUUUAAAAAUCUAUAUAUACGUAUUUUUUUGUACAUUAUUUUCUUUUGGUCUAUAGUAAAUAGCUACUCUUUUAAAAUUUAAUAAAUAACAGCUAGUAAUUUAAAAUAAAUCACUUAAUAUAAUAUUUAUUAAAUAUACCAAUAUGACAUAUUAUAUUAAUAAUAUUAAUUAUAUUUAGUUUAUAUGUUUUAUGAUGAUAAAGCAAUGAUAUAAUAAAACUUCGAGAAUAAUUAUCCAUUAUUAUUUUAAGUUUUCAUAAAUAAUAAUUAUUUAUUUAAAUCUUAUUAAAAAUAUUAGCAUGAUUCUAAGUAUUUAAUUUAUUAUCCGUGCAAUCUAGUUACUGAAUACAAUUCAAAAGUACAACAUGAAGAAACCUUCUUAUUUAGGAAAGCUUAACAUUCGUAAAUAGUUUCUGUAAGGUUGUACGAUUCAUCCUUACAUUUCUCGUAAUUACUUUCAGAAAGCCAAAGCUUCUUCGUCCAAGUAACAGUGGAGGUGCACACCUGCAUAUGGAAACUGCAGCGACUCUUCAAUUGGAUGAGCAACAGCCAUCCUCACAGCACACUUUUACACAACGGAGGUUUGGUACCCGUCCGAUAAAGCAGCAGUGACAACCUUCAAUUCUCAAAUCAUUAGCACAUUGCAAUCGAUCGGUAAUGGUGUCUGCAGACGAGGGCCUGCUGUUGCAUUUGCACAUAUGGCAAUGGACAUCACUACUAAAAACCAUGUCAAAGCAAUGAAUAACUUUUCUUUCCUCACCAUUUCUUUCCCUUUGUAUUCUGCGUCUGCAAACUUAACGAUGUAAACAAGGGAUGACCAUCCUCUCUAUCUAAGGCAUCGUCUUUUGUAGUGUGUCCUUUUGGCAGUAGAGUGGAUGCAAUACGUUCUUUCUUUGUAAUCCAUUCCUACACGUCAGAAAGGUAGGGGACAUGGGUGUUUAUCUUGUGCGUCACUUGCCAACUUGCUGUUUGUACUGGCCUCAUAUGUUGAUUUCUACGCGGCAGGACCAAAUGUAGCUGCCGCUGGUAUUGCCGACUUUCCUGACCCUAUUUUCUGAACUCUUUCAUCUUCUUAUCCAGAGUGCAAUCACCACUAGAUUCUCUUUCAGAAUAUGAAUUCUUUUAUUUGAGUUAAUUUGGAGUCUUCAGUUUGGC
rnacentral:lncRNA from 1 species